CCCCCAUCGUGUGUCUCACCCUUUUUUUUCUUUGAUUAGUUCUAGCGAAGUCAUCAAAAGUUGCCGACUUCAAGUUGAACCGGGUCCAAUAGGACCAGUACUCAAUUCUCCCUCCCUUACAAAAAUUUCAUCCUCAAAAUUUAAGAAAUCUAAGUCUGCUGAAGUUAAAGAUGCCCCACUCAAAAUUUACAUAUACCAAUUUAUCCUGACUUGAUAUUUUUGUCAAACUAAACAUAUGAUC
rnacentral:lncRNA from 1 species